UUCUUUUUUUUUUUUUUGGUAAGGGAAAAAAAAUUGUCGUGAAUCACUGAAUCGAAUCAAUGCCUGAGCUAUUUCCAAGUUGGCAAAACAUUGUUGAAGACGUGAAGCGAUUGUUCCUCAUUCACUGAAGCCCCACUUUGGAUUGCAAGUUGCAAGAGCUACACGUCAAGGCUCUUAGUCACGCACACCUGACGUAGAGCUUUCCCGAAGGGAGAGGAAGAAGAAGAAGAAGAAGAAGAAGAACGAUCCAGAGGAAAAUGGACAGAUCGUUUUCACAGACAUCACAAAAUGGAAAAUGCGAACCAGAGGAUUCCGGAGAUGCAGAAAUAAUCAUCGUGGGUGCUGGUGUUGCUGGGGCGGCUCUUGCUUACACGCUUGGGAAGGAUGGACGAAAAGUGCAUGUUAUUGAAAGGGACUUGAGUGAGCCUGACAGAAUCGUGGGUGAAUUGCUGCAGCCUGGAGGGUAUUUGAAGUUAAUUGAGUUGGGUCUUGAGGAUUGUGUGGAGAAAAUUGACGCUCAGAGGGUCUAUGGCUAUGCUCUGUAUAAGGAUGGCCAAAAUACCAAACUGACUUAUCCUUUGGAAAAAUUUGACACUGAUGUUUCUGGGAGGAGCUUUCACAAUGGGCGUUUCGUACAGAGAAUGCGAGAAAAGGCUGCAUUUUUCCCAAGCGUGAAAUUAGAACAAGGAACAGUUACAUCUCUGAUUGAAGAAAAUGGAAUCGUCAAAGGGGUGCACUGCAAAACCAAGGAUGGACAACAGCUCACAGCGAAGGCUCCCCUCACCAUAGUCUGUGAUGGUUGCUUUUCCAACUUGAGGCGUUCUCUUUGCAACCCAAAGGUUGAUGUACCAUCUCAUUUUGUCGGUCUUGUCCUGGAGAAUUGUGAUCUUCCAUAUUCAAAUCAUGGACAUGUUAUCUUAGGCGAUCCUUCACCCAUUUUAUUCUAUCCCAUCAGCAGCACUGAGAUUCGCUGUUUGGUUGAUGUGCCUGGCCAAAAAGUACCUUCUAUUGCCAAUGGUGAAAUGGCCACAUAUUUGAAAUCUGUCGUAGCUCCUCAGAUUCCACCAGAGCUGUAUAGUUCUUUUCUAGCAGCCAUUGAUAAGGGUAAGAUAAGAACCAUGCCAAACAGAAGCAUGCCUGCCUCUCCUUAUCCCACACCUGGCGCCCUUCUGAUGGGAGAUGCCUUUAAUAUGCGUCACCCUUUAACAGGAGGAGGAAUGACUGUAGCACUGUCCGACAUUGUUGUGCUGAGGAAUCUCCUUAAACCACUUCGUAACUUGCAUGAUGCUUCUGCUCUUUGCAAGUAUCUUGAAUCAUUCUACACGCUGCGCAAGCCAGUGGCUUCUACCAUAAACACAUUGGCAGGCGCAUUGUACAUGGUAUUUUGUGCAUCCCCUGAUCCAGCGAGGAAGGAAAUGCGCCAAGCAUGUUUUGAUUAUCUCAGCCUUGGAGGCAUUUUCUCAAAUGGACCAAUAUCUCUACUGUCUGGUUUAAACCCUCGCCCACUGAGCUUGGUUCUCCACUUCUUUGCGGUGGCUAUCUAUGGCGUUGGCCGUUUGCUAAUCCCAUUUCCUUCUCCAAAGCGCGUGUGGAUUGGAGCUAGAUUGAUUUCAGCUUCACUGCUUAAUCCACAGCACAUUAUGAUAUGUAUACAUUUUUUGGGCUACAUUUUCAGGGUGCAUCAGGAAUCAUUUUCCCCAUUAUCAAGGCCGAAGGAGUAAGGCAGAUGUUCUUUCCGGUGACAGUGCCAGCAUAUUACAGAACUCCUCCUGUUCAUUUACAUGACUCAAACUGAAACCACAUAUAGAAUGGAGAGAAAUUUUCAAUGCUAGAUCAUGUUUUAGGCUGCUCUUAUGGUUUGUCCGUGUUCAUAAGACUAAGAAAAGUGAGUGGAGAACAAUUGAUGCAGUGAUGGAAGGUCAUAAAAUGGAAGAUUGUAAUUGAAAGGGUGGGAUUUGAAAGAUGCCUGAUUAAGGCAGGCAAAAACAAUUACAACAUGUGAAGAAUGAUUCUUCAACGUUAUUUGGAGGGUAAGGUUUUGGCUUUGGAGGAGAAAUGAAUUCUGGAUCACAAGUCACCAAUCUUCAAAGGUUUCUGUUUCGUAUGAAGAAUGAAUUUAUGACUUUUGAGGAGCGCCUGACCAUGCGUAAAGAUCUGCAGCAACAGGACUGAAGAUUGGAGUACAUACUUAUGAGAGAUGAGGGGUAAAGAAUGAAUUUAUUAAGCUAUAUGAUUUAUAUAAUUCAAUAACAAUCAAAUUAUGUUCCAGACAAAAAGAGUUAG